CUGGGGAAUUGAACCCAGGGCUUCAUGUAUAAGAGGCAAGCCCAGACUGCGAGACUUUUCUAGAAAGAUCUGGAUGGCACAGAUCUACCCACAGACAUGUGCUGUGACCCCAACUCCACCACAGAAGCCUCCCAAGGCUGCUCAGGGAGGGUGGCAGAGCCGCC